UGUAAGGGCAGAGCCCCCGACAUCUUACUGAACAGGGUAUUGGACCUCAAACGUAUUGGGCAAUGUCCGAGCAACUCUAUAAAAACCACUGUAAUGCUGCAUUAGCUCUACAACAUUUGUAGUCAAUUGGGCCCCACCAAUUAGUCCCUUUAUUAAACAUAUGUCUAUGUCCCACGAUAUGGUCAUAUUUCAACCAACAUUAUUCAUUAAUUGUGUCUGUAUGAACGAUCUCUACAUUGGUUACAGUACGACGCUGGCCUUGACGUCACCAACUAAUUCAAUCCAGCACUUGAGUUCGCCAAUGGCAAAUUAAUUUCAAUCUGUGUCAGAAGAGGAUGAUGAAGACUCUGAUGAUGAUAAAGACUCUGAUGAUGAUGAAGACGAGGACAAAGAAGACUCUGAUGAUGAUGAAGACGAGGACAAAGAAGACUCUGAUGAUGAGUCUGAUGAUGAAGAAUCUGAUAAAUCCCGAUCGUUUUCCGACAACAUUAUCUCCAGAGCUCUUUGGAGAGUCCAGGCACCAUCAGAGACUUCCAAGUCCUCCAGAACCCCUCUCAGAGCAAGGGUGAAAGCAGAGGCUCUGUCACCGGGAUUCACUGUGGUGAAUCCCGGUGGUGCAGCAACAGACACCUGUCAUUUAAAAAUAAAUACUAUGUAACUGUGUCACAGAAUGUGAAUGGAAUGUGAAUAAAAUGAAUAUCAAAUUAUAUAAGAAUUCAGAAA